GAAUAUUGGACAAUGGGCGCAAGCCUGAUCCAGCCAUGCCGCGUGUGUGAAGAAGGCCUUCGGGUUGUAAAGCACUUUUGUCCGGAAAGAAAAGCGCUGGGUUAAUACCCUGGUGUCCUGACGGUACCGGAAGAAUAAGCACCGGCUAACUUCGUGCCAGCAGCCGCGGUAAUACGAAGGGUGCAAGCGUUACUCGGAAUUACUGGGCGUAAAGCGUGCGGAGGUGGUUUGUUAAGUCUGAUGUGAAAGCCCGGGGCUCAACCUGGGAAUGGCAUUGGAUACUGGCGAGCUAGAGUGCGGUAGAGGGUGGUGGAAUUCCCGGUGUAGCAGUGAAAUGCGUAGAGAUCGGGAGGAACAUCUGUGGCGAAGGCGACUACCUGGACCAGCACUGACACUGAGGCACGAAAGCGUGGGGAGCAAACAGG
rnacentral:rRNA from 1 species